rnacentral:rRNA from 1 species
GCUUGUCUCAAAGAUUAAGCCAUGCAUGUCUAAGUAUAAACUGCUUAUACUGUGAAACUGCGAAUGGCUCAUUAAAUCAGUUAUAGUUUAUUUGAUGGUACCUUCUACUCGGAUAACCGUAGUAAUUCUAGAGCUAAUACGUGCGUAAAACCCGACUUCUGGAAGGGUCGUAUAUAUUAGAUAAAAGGCCGACCGAGCUUUGCUCGACCCGCGGUGAAUCAUGAUAUCUUCACGAAUCGCACGGCCUUGUGCCGGCGAUGUUUCAUUCAAAUUUCUUCCCUAUCAACUUUCGAUGUUUGGGUAUUGGCCAAACAUGGUUGCAACGGGUAACGGAGGGUUAGGGCUCGACCCCGGAGAAGGAGCCUGAGAAACGGCUACUACAUCCAAGGAAGGCAGCAGG